rnacentral:lncRNA from 1 species
CCGGCCGACGGCCCACCUGGGCUUCGUGAACAGUGGGAGGGAGAGUCUGGGGCCAGGAGAGGGACGGUGCAGGAUCAGGGAAAGAACCGUGUGCUAACUCCUCAUCAAAGACCAGAAGUAGAUCCUGAAUUGUAUUCAUUCUCAUCUCUUUCUACCUCCUCCAAGACAGAAGGACAUGAUUAACUUCUUUAUCUCAAUGUCAGCCUUCAAUAGCUACAAAAGUCUAAACUGUAAAUAGCGUUGAAGCUUUGCAUAAUAAAAUUCUUUUCCCCAGUG